rnacentral:sRNA from 1 species
AGCAGCCGCGGUAAUUCCAGCUCCAAUAGCGUAUAUUAAAGUUGUUGCAGUUAAAAAGCUCGUAGUUGAAUUUCGGGAUCAAGGAAUCGGUCAUGCCUCGGUAUGUACUGGUUUUAUUGGUUCUCACCUUCUAAAGAACCAUGAUGUCAUUCAUUUGAUGUUAUGGGGAAUUAGGACUGUUACCUUGAAAAAAUUAGAGUGUUUAAAGCAGGCUUACGCUUGAAUACAUUAGCAUGGAAUAAUGAAAUAGGACAUCAGAUUCUAUUUUGUUGGUUUCUAGGAUCGAUGUAAUGAUUAAUAGGGAUAGUUGGGGGCAUUAGUAUUCAAUUGUCAGAGGUGAAAUUCUUGGAUUUAUUGAAGACUAACUACUGCGAAAGCAUUUGCCAAGGAUGUUUUCAUUAAUCAAGAACGAAAGUUAGGGGAUCGAAGACGAUCAGAUACCGUCGUAGUCUUAACCAUAAACUAUGCCGACUAGGGAUCGGAUGAUGUUUAUUUUUAGUGACUCAUUC